rnacentral:misc_RNA from 1 species
AAAAAAUGCAAGGCCACCCAGCCAUACAUAUAACUGAAAUACAUUAUUUGACAGCAUAGCCAUACAAAGUGCUGAGCUAGUGGCUGUACUUAAGAAAUAAACAAACAACAACAACAAAAAGAUAGAAAAAGAUAUGCAAGGAUCAUCACCAGUAAUGGUCAUUAAUUACUAUAACAUAAAAGACGAACUCUAUACCAAAUUUAUAUUAAAUGUAAAAUGAUUGAUAAUAGUAAUCGUUCAUCAUAGCAUGAUAUCAAUUUAG